rnacentral:rRNA from 1 species
AGAGAGAGACAUGCGCGCAUAUCAAUAAGCGGAGGAAAAGAAACUAACUAGGAUUCCCUCAGUAACGGCGAGUGAAGCGGGAAGAGCUCAAAUUUGAAAUCUUCAAGGUUCUACCUUGACGAAUUGUAGUUUAAAGAAGUGUUUUCUGUUGGAAUUUUGGUAAAAGUUCUUUGGAAAUAGGACAUCAUAAGAGGGUGAGAAUCCCGUAUUUGACCAUUAUUUCCAGCUUUGUGAUACACUUUCAAAGAGUCGGAUUGUUUGGGAAUGCAGUCCAAAAUGGGUGGUAAAUUUCAUCUAAAGCUAAAUACUGGCGAGAGACCGAUAGCGAACAAGUACCGUGAGGGAAAGAUGAAAAGAACUUUGAAAAGAGAGUUAAACAGUACGUGAAAUUGUCAAAAGGGAAGCGUUUGACACCAGUGUUGUUUUCUCGAAAAUCAAUUAAAAAAUGGUGGAUUUUGUGUUGUAUUGACUUUAUCAGCUUUCUGCACUUUUUUCCUGUCUUUUUUAAUGCACUUUUCGUUUAACAAGUCAACAUCAAUUUCUUUUGUUGUAAAAGGGUCAUUGGAAGGUGGCUUUCUUUUCGGAGAAAGUGUUUAUAGCCUUUGAGCCUCUGCAACCGGAGAGACUGAGGUCUGCAGCGUAGACUCUUCGGGGUUAGAUACAUUUGUGCUAAGUUAUAGCCUUUCAUAGACAACUUGUUGACUAUGAUCAGUCAUGUAGCUUACUCGCUUAUGCUGUUUUACCUACGCUUAGGAUGUUGACAGCAGUAUAGACUGU